UAAUAGCUCACUAGUCGAGAGGUCCUGCGCCGAAAAUGUCCGGGGCUAAAACACACUGCCGAAGCUUUGGAAUUGAGAAUUCAAUUGGUAGAGGAGCAUUCUUAAAGGGACGAAGCAGUACCGUAAGGAGCUGUGGACUUUUAAGAAGAGAGAAUGCCGGAAUGAGUAGCGAGAGGAAGGUGGGAAUCCUUCCGGCCGAAUAUCUAAGGUUUCCAGAGUAAAGCUGAUCUGCUCUGGGUAAGUCGGGGCCUAAGGCGAGGUCGAAAGACGUAGUCGAUGGAUAACAGGUUGAAAUUCCUGUACUAUCCUGUAACAGAACUGUGGGGACACAGGCAGAGAGCGUGAGCCGGGAAUGGAAAGACCGGUACAAGCGAGGUAGGAGUCUGGUUGGCAAAUCCGCCAGGCAAUCUGAAGACGUGAUGUGGACUGAAAAUAAGUAGGGAAGCACGUGAGCUGACUGUCAAGAAAAGCCGCUAUUGUUUGCAGGAUACCCGUACCGUAAACCGACACAGGUGGAUGAGGAGAGAAUCCUAAGGCCGACGGGAGAAGCAUUGUUAAGGAACUCGGCAAAAUGACUCCGUAACUUCGGGAGAAGGAGUGCCAUGCGAAUGGCCGCAGAGAAUUGGCCCAAGCAACUGUUUAGCAAAAACACAGGUCUAUGCGAAACCGAAAGGUGAGGUAUAUGGGCUGACGCCUGCCCGGUGCUGGAAGGUUAAGGGGAGAGGUUAGCGCAAGCGAAGCUUUGAACUUAAGCCCCAGUAAACGGCGGCCGUAACUAUAACGGUCCUAAGGUAGCGAAAUUCCUUGUCGGGUAAGUUCCGACCCGCACGAAAGGCGUAAUGAUUUGAGCGCUGUCUCGACAAUGCAUCCGGUGAAAUUGAAGUACCAGUGAAGAUGCUGGUUACCUGCGCCAGGACGGAAAGACCCCAUGGAGCUUUACUCCAGCUUGAUACUGGGAUUCGGUAUUGCAUGUACAGGAUAGGUGGGAGGCUAAGAAGUGGUAACGCCAGUUGCCAUGGAGCCGCUGUUGGGAUACCACCCUUGCAGUACUGGGUUUCUAACCAGCAGCCGUGAUCCGGCUGGGGGACAAUGUCAGGUGGGGAGUUUGACUGGGGCGGUCGCCUCCGAAAGGGUAUCGGAGGCGCUCAAAGGU
rnacentral:rRNA from 1 species